AUAUUAACUCUAAGAGAAAUCUAGUAAUAAACGAAGUGAAUUGAAAUAUCUUAGUAACUUUAGGAAAAGAAAUCAAAAGAGAUUCUAUGAUUAGCGUGAGCUAAAAUAGACUAGCCUAAAAAGUAAAAUGGUAGAUAAACUGUUUAAAUUAAAUGGGGAACCUUCCUCAAAGGCUAAAUAUAAUAUAUAAGCGAUAGUGAAAAGUACCGUGAGGGAAUUAAAACAAAAACAGUAAUUUUAUAAGCAGUUCGGAAAAAUAAAAAAGUUAGAACGUACCUUUUGCAUAAUGGGUCACCAAGUUAACAUUAGAUGCGAGAUUAUACGUAGUUAAACCGAGCGUUAAAAUAACGGAAAGUGUCUAAAGUUAGACCCGAAGCCUGGUGAUUUUACUAUAAUCAGGAUUAUAAAAGUCCGAACGGAAUAUUGUAGCAUAAAUAUCCGAAGAAUUAUGGUAGGUGUAGUGAAAGACAAUACUGACCAGGAUAGCUGGUUUUCUGCGAAACCUAUAAUAGUAGGCAAUUUAAGUAUAAUAUCUUAGCAGGUACAGAAUUUAAUCUCAGACAAGGCAUAUAAAAUGUUUUAUUUUGUACAAAUUGGGGGAUCAUGAAGAUUUUAUCAGUGAGUAUGUAGACUCGGAAUGGCAAAGAUAUAUCUUAAAUCAUCAGACAUAGAAUGAUAAGGUUGUAUGUCAAAAGGGAAACAGCCCAGAACAAGAGUUAAGGUUCCUAAAUUAUUAGUUGAGUGAAAUUAAGAAGGUUUUUAUUAAAGUCGACAAGGAGAUAGGCUUAGAAGCAGCCAUAAUUUUAUGACCUCGUAACAGAGCGCUUGUUAAGUUUUAAAAGCAUCGAAAAUUUAUCGGAUCUAAACAAUAUACCGAAACCUUGUCCAUAAUAUUUAUAAUUAAAAUAAUAGUUAUAAUUAAAUGGGGUAGCAGAACGUUGAGUUAAAUUAUGAUUUUUAUUUUUUAAAUGAAAUUAUAAUAAUUUAACUCAAGUGAUAAUGGUGACAUGAGUAACUAAAAGAAAAUUUUCCGCCUAAAGCUUAUGGAUCUAAUUAAGUAACGGCCUCUAAGUUUAUAUUAUCUAAAGAUUUAAACGAUGAGAUAAUCUUUUUUACUAAGGACGACAUUUAAAGUGAAAAAUGUACUGGAAAAAUAGUAAUAUAUUUAUUUUUAGCGCUAGCUUGCUAUUUCAUUAGCAAGCUCGCUUUAGCUUGCUAAUUCAUAAAGCAAGAAAUAAAUGAAAAGUAACCGUACCUAGAAACUGAAACAAGUAAGUUAGUAGAGAAUACGAAGGCGUAAAUGAGCUAACAAUCAUAAAGGAACUCGGCAAAUUGACUACCGUAACUUCGGGAUAAGGAGAGCUCAUUAUUCUUGAUUAAUAUCAAGUAAAGAGGAAGAAGCAUGAAAUAGUGUUGUACGACUGUUUAAUUAAAACACAGCACUUUGCUGAAAGAUUAAAAAUCUAAGUAUAGAGUGUGAUGUCUGCCCGGUGCCGGCUGGUUAACAGAUAUAAUUAGAUAUACUAAUAUUUGAUGUAGACGGAAACCCCGGUUAAAGGCGGCCUUAACGUGAGGGUCCUAAGGUAGCGAAAUGCCUUGGCCGUUAAAUGCGGUCUUGCAUGAAUGAUGUAACGAUACAACAGCUGUCUCUAUGAUUGACUCAGUGAAAUUGGAAUAGCUGUGCAGAUACAGUUUACCUCUAGUUAGACGAGAAGACCCUAUGCAGCUUUACUGUCACUAAUUAUAGAGUAUGAUAAACAAUUUUCAGAUUAUAAGGUAAUUGACAAUAUGACAAUGAGAAUCCUUUAUUUUUUUUUCAUAUGAAUGAAUUGGUUUAGGAUUAUGAGUUGUUAGUUGGCUUUAAAUAGCCAACUAACAACUUAUUUUAGUAAAUCAACCUAAUUCAGCUUAUUAUUAUUUCACUAAUUUACUAGUGAAAUGGAUAAGUACCCUUUGGUAAGGAACUAUCGCUAGGGGACAGUUUAUGUGGGGCACAGACCCUGUAAAGAGUAAACAGGAGUGUCUAAUAAUUUAUAAUUAUUUUGUUUGCGAUUUAAGGUAGUUUAACUAUUUUUAAUCAUAUAAAAUUAUUUAUAUGUACAUUCGUUGUAUAUAUAUUUAAAAAAAGGUAGGAUUUUCACUAUAUAGAAAUUAGAGAUAAUAAAAAUAUUAAGAAUAAUUCUUUAGCUUGUUAUUUCAUUAGUAGGCUAAAGAACAUAAAUCUAAUGUUUUUUAACUAUUAUUAAUAAUAGUUAUGUUUUAAUUAUCUAAAAAGCUCAACGGCUAAAUCUUGCCUUACUGUUUGAUUAUCUACAAAUCUUACAGUUGCGUAAGCAGGGCAUAGGAUCACAAGAUGCAACAAGGAAAGAUCUUGGAUUAUUGGAAAAGCUACGCUAGGGAUAACAGGCUAAUUUGCGCAAGAGUGUACAAAAUGAGUGCGCGGUUUGGCACCUCGAUGUCGGCUUAACUUAUCCUCAUGGAUGCAGGAACUAUGUAGGGUGCGACUGUUCGUCGAUUAAAAAGUUACAUGAGCUGGGUUAAAUACGUCGUGAGACAGUAUGGUUUCUAUCUUCUAGGGGGAAUUAGAAUAUAAUAAGAACUAACUUUUGUACGAAAGGAACAAGAAGAAUUUAAUUUGUAAAAGGGUUAAAUAAUAGUUACUAACCUAUGGUUUACCUGUUGUCUAUGUGCCCAAAUAUUAAAUAUAUAUGAUUUUCAACAAACUAAAAAGAUGAGGGAAUUAUAUAUAUCUGUAUUUUUAUACAUAGGGAUGUUUCUUUCACUAAGAUAAAUAUAUAGCAUAGGCACGGCAGGAAAGCUAAGUUGGUUAAGGAUAAGUGCUGAAAGCAUAUAGGCACGAAGCUUAUCUUAAGAUAUUUCUUAAAUAUACGUAAAAUAUUAUUACGAAGAAAUAAUAUAGGCUUUAUCCGUACGAAUCCGGAGAUUUUAAAGAAUAAAGUACUAAUUUUAUAAAUAACUAUUUAUACAUAUAUCUC
rnacentral:rRNA from 1 species